GCCGGUGUAGCUCAGUGGCAGAGCAGCUGAUUCGUAAUCAGCAGGUCGUGGGUUCGAGUCCCACCGCCGGCU
rnacentral:tRNA from 1 species